rnacentral:RNase_P_RNA from 1 species
GGAAAGUCUGGACACCAUAGAGCAGCAUAGCGGCUAACCGCCGUCCACAGCGAUGUGAGGACUAGUGCAACAGAAAGCAAGUACAGUACGGCUGUAGUGAAAUCAGGUAAACUCUAUGCGGUGCAAUGCUAAGUAUAUCGGCAACUAAGGGUCGCUCGUCCAAUGCCGAGGGGUAAGCAGCUAAAGUUUAAUAGCAAUAUUAAGCGUAGAUAAAUAACAAGCGUUCUGAACUUGUUUAGAAUACAGAAUCCGGC